AUGGCCCAGCCAACGACAAGGAAGGGUCGUAGGCCCUCUGACCGGUCGCGCUGCCACAGACGCCGCCGAGGGUGGGGCAGAGGAGGAAGCCCAGGUACAUCACGCAGGUGUGGUCAGGGUUCAAGUGGAACAAGUACAACCGUGUGCAGUACGACCAUGAUCAGCCGCCGCCCAAGAUCCUCAAGGCUUUACCAGAAGCCUUCAGAGUACACCAUCCACGAGGAUGGGGACGACGAAGAGACCUGCAUCAUCAGGUUACAUGCCGGGCUGCCGUACAAGGCAUCGCCUUCAGGAUCGUGA
rnacentral:rRNA from 1 species